GCCGUCUUAGCUCAGUCGGUAGAGCGUAUCCAUGGUAAGGAUGAGGUCGUCGGUUCGAAUCCGAUAGACGGCU
rnacentral:tRNA from 2 species